UUUGUGUUUGUUUUUCUUAUUGUACUGCGCAUCCAUUAUAUUCCCUUAAUUCACAUAAAAUUAGUAAACUUGAAUAAUCUACUCGUCAAUUACACACUUUUUUAGUUGAAUUGUGCAGAAUAUUGCAAGGUAGGUUCAAUAACAAAACUUUUAAUUUUCUCACUUUGGAAAUAAGGACUAUGUGCAUGCCUUCUUUUCAUACUUUUUUCGCAUUAUUGGACUAAAUGGCUUCUCAAGACUUCGGCAA